rnacentral:rRNA from 1 species
UACGUAGGGAGCAAGCGUUGUCCGGAAUCAUUGGGCGUAAAGCGCGCGUAGGUGGCCUCGUAAGUCCGCUGUGAAAGUCAAAGGCUCAACCUUUGAAAGCCGGUGGAUACUGCGGGGCUAGAGUACGGAAGAGGCGAGUGGAAUUCCUGGUGUAGCGGUGAAAUGCGUAGAGAUCGGAAAGAACACCAACGGCGAAAGCACUCUGCUGGGCCGACACUGACACUGAGAGACGAAGGCUAGGGGAGCGAAUGGG